rnacentral:rRNA from 1 species
UACGAGGGGGGCAAGCGUUGUUCGGAAUUAUUGGGCGUAAAGGGUGCGUAGGCGGCGCGGUAAGUCGGGUGUGAAAUCUUGGAGCUUAACUCCGAAACUGCAUUCGAUACUGCCGUGCUUGAGGACUGGAGAGGAGACUGGAAUUUACGGUGUAGCGGUGAAAUGCGUAGAUAUCGGAAGGAAGACCAGUGGCGAAGGCGGGUCUCUGGACAGUUCCUGACGCUGAGGCACGAAGGCCAGGGGAGCAAACGGG